CAGCCGCCGCGGUAAUACGAAGGGUGCAAGCGUUGUUCGGAUUUACUGGGCGUAAAGCGCACGUAGGCGGAUCGAUCAGUCAGGGGUGAAAUCCCAGAGCUCAACUCUGGAACUGCCUUUGAUACUGUCGAUCUGGAGUAUGGAAGAGGUGAGUGGAAUGCCGAGUGUAGAGGUGAAAUUCGUAGAUAUUCGGAGGAACACCAGUGGCGAAGGCGGCUCACUGGUCCACUACUGACGCUGAGGUGCGAAAGCGUGGGGAGCAAACAGGAUUAGAUACCCCCGUAGUCCCUGUCUCUUAUAC
rnacentral:rRNA from 1 species